rnacentral:rRNA from 1 species
UGCCAGCAGCCGCGGUAAUACGGAGGAUGCAAGCGUUAUCCGGAUUUAUUGGGUUUAAAGGGUACGUAGGCGGAAAAUUAAGUCAGUAGUGAAAUCCCACAGCUUAACUGUGGAACUGUUAUUGAUACUGGUUUUCUUGAAUAUAGUUGAGGUAGGCGGAAUGUGUAAUGUAGCGGUGAAAUGCUUAGAUAUUACACAGAACACCGAUUGCGAAGGCAGCUUACUAAGCUAUGAUUGACGCUGAGGUACGAAAGCGUGGGGAGCGAACAGGAUUAGAUA